rnacentral:rRNA from 1 species
AUUGAACGCUGGCGGCAUGCCUUACACAUGCAAGUCGAACGGCAGCACGGGAGCAAUCCUGGUGGCGAGUGGCGAACGGGUGAGUAAUAUAUCGGAACGUGCCCAGUCGUGGGGGAUAACGCAGCGAAAGCUGUGCUAAUACCGCAUACGAUCUCUGGAUGAAAGCGGGGGACCUGCAAGGGCCUCGCGCGAUUGGAGCGGCCGAUAUCAGAUUAGCUAGUUGGUGGGGUAAAAGCCUACCAAGGCGACGAUCUGUAGCUGGUCUGAGAGGACGACCAGCCACACUGGAACUGAGACACGGUCCAGACUCCUACGGGAGGCAGCAGUGGGGAAUUUUGGACAAUGGGCGCAAGCCUGAUCCAGCAAUGCCGCGUGCAGGAUGAAGGCCUUCGGGUUGUAAACUGCUUUUGUACGGAACGAAACGGUUCGCCUUAAUACGGUGGGCUAAUGACGGUACCGUAAGAAUAAGCACCGGCUAACUACGUGCCAGCAGCCGCGGUAAUACGUAGGGUGCGAGCGUUAAUCGGAAUUACUGGGCGUAAAGCGUGCGCAGGCGGUUAUAUAAGACAGAUGUGAAAUCCCCGGGCUCAACCUGGGACCUGCAUUUGUGACUGUAUAGCUAGAGUACGGUAGAGGGGGAUGGAAUUCCGCGUGUAGCAGUGAAAUGCGUAGAUAUGCGGAGGAACACCGAUGGCGAAGGCAAUCCCCUGGACCUGUACUGACGCUCAUGCACGAAAGCGUGGGGAGCAAACAGGAUUAGAUACCCUGGUAGUCCACGCCCUAAACGAUGUCAACUGGUUGUUGGGUCUUCACUGACUCAGUAACGAAGCUAACGCGUGAAGUUGACCGCCUGAGGG